rnacentral:tRNA from 1 species
GAGCACACGGUUCAUACCCGUGGUGUCGCUGGUUCAAAUCCAGUUUCCGCUA